rnacentral:lncRNA from 1 species
UGUGAAUUUUAUAUAUAAUAAACUAAAUGUUCAAAAGUUCCGUGCGACACUUGGUUGUAUAUUAUUUCUCGUAAUUUUGGAGUUUUACACUUCUACAAAUCUGCAAUCUACUGUGUGAUAUCGAAAAAAAAAUAAAAGUAUUUAGCGUUCCGUGACGCUAAAAUCUGAAAGCAAGUGUUACGAAUAUUCGCCGUGGAUAUAAAUCUAGCAUUCACAUAGUAGACGUGCCAACCUUUGCAUGAUCCUUAGAAAUAAAGUACAUAAUGAUAGACCAGUCCUAGUCACAGUGAUUUUUUUUAAUUUUAGUUACUGAAGCCCCAAGUCUGAUCUUCGACGGUUUUACAAACACGUUUUAAUGCUAUUAGAAAAUGCUAUUCCAUUAUAUUCCCUGAACUCUCUGCAUCUAACUGUUAUGUAUUUUUUUUCCCGGUUACCAACCUUUCCCCCUGAAAUACCUGGGUUUUUUUUCUUUAAAACAUAUCAUAUAAAAAAAAAACAUGUACAUAUAUACAUGUCAUAUGCAUAUAAUUACA